rnacentral:misc_RNA from 1 species
GUGAAUCAUCGAAUUUUUGAACGCAAAUUGCACUCUCUUCGGAGAGUAUGCCUGUUUGAGGGUCAGCCUAAAAAAAAUCGACAUAGUCGCUGUUUCGCGGUGACAUUCGUCGGAAAUUGGGUCAUCUUAAACCUUUGGGUUUUAGCGGCUUAAAAUUUUUUUUACGAUUCCAAGAACGUUUCUAAGGUUUAAUUCUUUACCCUUU